UAUAAAUACAACCAUAAGUUUCCGCGUCUAAUUUUGUUUGUUCGUCUUAUUUGAAAUUUUUUUAUAAUUAGUAUUUUCGUUGUUAUGAGAUGAUAAAACAUGAAUAGUAUUUUACUUGUGACUUAUGUUUUUAAAUUUUUUUAAAAAUUUUUCAAAUAAGACGGACGGUCAAAGUUGAACGCGGAAAACCAUGACUGCACUUAUA
rfam:Oryza nivara chromosome 11, whole genome shotgun sequence.